rnacentral:rRNA from 1 species
CCAGAAAGCCACGGCUAACUACGUGCCAGCAGCCGCGGUAAUACGUAGGUGGCAAGCGUUAUCCGGAAUUAUUGGGCGUAAAGCGCGCGCAGGUGGUUUCUUAAGUCUGAUGUGAAAGCCCACGGCUCAACCGUGGAGGGUCAUUGGAAACUGGGAGACUUGAGUGCAGAAGAGGAAAGUGGAAUUCCAUGUGUAGCGGUGAAAUGCGUAGAGAUAUGGAGGAACACCAGUGGCGAAGGCGACUUUCUGGUCUGUAACUGACACUGAGGCGCGAAAGCGUGGGGAGCAAACAGGAUUAGAUACCCUGGUAGUCCACGCCGUAAACGAUGAGUGCUAAGUGUUAGAGGGUUUCCGCCCUUUAGUGCUGAAGUUAACGCAUUAAGCACUCCCCCUGGGGAGUACGGCCGCAAGGCUGAAACUCAAAGGAAUUGACGGGGGCCCGCACAAGCGGUGGAGCAUGUGGUUUAAUUGGAAGCAACGCGAAGAACCUUACCAGGUCUUGACAUCUUCUGAAAACCCUAGAGAUAGGGCUUCUCCUUCGGGAGCAGAGUGACAGGUGGUGCAUGGUUGUCGUCAGCUCGUGUCGUGAGAUGUUGGGUUAAGUCCCGCAACGAGCGCAACCCUUGAUCUUAGUUGCCAUCAUUAAGUUGGGCACUCCAAGGUGACUGCCGGUGACAAACCGGAGGAAGGUGGGGAUGACGUCAAAUCAUCAUGCCCCUUAUGACCUGGGCUACACACGUGCUACAAUGGACGGUACAAAGAGCUGCAAGACCGCGAGGUGGAGCUAAUCUCAUAAAACC